rnacentral:rRNA from 1 species
CGGCAAGAACUUGUCCUUGGUGGCGAGCGGCGGACGGGUGAGUAAUGCCUAGAAAUUGCCCUGAUGUGGGGGAUAACCAUUGGAAACGAUGGCUAAUACCGCAUGAUGCCUACGGGCCAAAGAGGGGGACCUUCGGGCCUCUCGCGUCAGGAUAUGCCUAGGUGGGAUUAGCUAGUUGGUGAGGUAAUGGCUCACCAAGGCGACGAUCCCUAGCUGGUCUGAGAGGAUGAUCAGCCACACUGGAACUGAGACACGGUCCAGACUCCUACGGGAGGCAGCAGUGGGGAAUAUUGCACAAUGGGCGCAAGCCUGAUGCAGCCAUGCCGCGUGUAUGAAGAAGGCCUUCGGGUUGUAAAGUACUUUCAGUCGUGAGGAAGGUGGUGUUGUUAAUAGCAGCAUCAUUUGACGUUAGCGACAGAAGAAGCACCGGCUAACUCCGUGCCAGCAGCCGCGGUAAUACGGAGGGUGCGAGCGUUAAUCGGAAUUACUGGGCGUAAAGCGCAUGCAGGUGGUGGAUUAAGUCAGAUGUGAAAGCCCGGGGCUCAAACCUCGGAAACCGCUAUUUUGAAACUGGUUUCACUAGAGUACUGUAGCAGGGGGGUAGAAUUUCACGUGUAGCGGGUGAAAAUGCCGUAGCAGAUCUGAAGGAACUACCGGUGGCGAAGGCGGCCCCCUGGGACCGAUUCUGACCUCCANAUGCGAAGCGUGGGACA